AACAAAAUUGGUGACAAAUAUUGGGAUAUGUAUUCAAGUGGAAACCUCAUUCAUGAUUUGCCUGGACACCUUCUUACUUACCCUAUUGGUAUUACUGAAAAUGGAGAGAUCACUGAACUACCUGGAGUAGAAUGUUUUCCUGACACCAAGGCACCUGUUCUUGGUACCAAAUCUAAUUAUCUCCCUCCCAUUCUCACAACCUAAAUCUCCAACUUUUAAUUUGUUCCAUUCAUUCUCUAGACCUGUAUUUAUGAUUAAGGUGUACAUGUUAAUAAGGUUUCUUAUUAAGGAAUGAAAGGUUAAUAUCACCCUAGGACAUUCACUACUAAAUGUUCAGCAGCUAUUCUCAAUAUUUCAAUGGAAAUGGAGUGGGAGAAUCAUGUUUCAUGACACAAAUUUUCCGUUGGCCAAAUGACAAAAAUAAGAACAAAUGUUAAACGAGAUAUGACAACAUUAGCGGGUUAAGGUUAAGUUUGCUCUUUACUUUCUGUCCCGUUUAUUAUUCUUUAAUUUUCACAUGUAUACUUUUCAUAUUUCAAAUUCUCUUUGUGAAAAUUUUACUUUCACCACUGUCUUUUAUCAUCUUGGAAUCAUAUUCACUUCAUUCUUAUUUUGCUAAUAUUGAAAGAAAACAAAAUUGCCAAAGGAAUGACAUUCCUCUAGGUAACUAAUACAUCUUUCAAAAAGAAAGUUAACUUUGAUUUUCCUUUUUCCUUAUUUUUUCAACGUGAGUGUUCAAGGCAAAGACUCGUAUUGAUAACGUAAAAAGUAGGAAGAGAGAAAAAAAAAGUAUUUCUCUUGAAAGAUGAAAAUACCAUAAAUAAGAGCUUCUCUAUUUACGGAGAAAAACUAAAUUGGUUCAACUCUAACUCUUUCCUAAAAAUAGAUAAAGAUAAAUAAACACUAUAAUAUACAAAAAUAUAUUUAUAACUAUUAGAUAUUUAGUUGUAUUCCCGCAAGUGAUAAGACCUUUAUUUUAUUAGGAAAAAAAAAAUCCUAAUUUUAGAAAAAGAAAACACAAAUUUGUGUUUUUCAUGUAAUAAAAAAAAAAAGGAAUUAAUGUUGUCGUGUUCAAAAAACAUCUAUGUCCAAACACUACUGAUUGAAAAGUGUCGUUUACCUAAGCACAAAGUGGAGCUCUUUCAUUGGUACGAAAAAGAUAAUAGUACUUAAUCAAUCCGUCCCAUAAUAUUAAAAUAUGAAUGUUCGUGGAUGUUUCCUAUUCGUCUAGAGAUAAGCAGUAUUUAACGGUCAAAUUUCUAAAAUCAAUUUAUUUUGAAAAAUAUUUUUGAUGAAAAUAAUUUGUGUUUGAUUAAUAAAAUUUAGGGAUAAUUUCAGAGGCUUCUCCUUAGAUAUUGCUCUAUCAUACUCACCUUCCUCGUGGUUUAUGAUAUUACGUUUAUUUUUAUUAUUUUAUUUUUUUGUAAUAUCGCAAAUUAAGAGGGAAGUUAGUGACAGAGCGCGCAAUACCUGAGUUGAUUGAGAAGAUCCUUUCAGUUGGCUAAAAUCCGUUAUUCGAAAAAUAUAUGAUACUGUGGAAUGAUAUUUAUUUCCAUUCUUGUUCCUUUUUUCCGUUUGCGGGUUUCUGGAAACUACAUCAAUUUUGUUUUCUUGCAUCUCUUUGAGUAGCAAUACUUUAGAAAAGAAUUUUUAAGUGUAUUUUUCUCAAAAAUACUUUAAGAAAACAGUACUUUUUUAAAUUUCUAAAAAAUAAACAAUUUGUGCCAUUUUUAAAAACACUGAUUUUCUCCUAAAAAUUUGAUCAAACAUCUUAUUUUUUAAAAAUAAAUUCUUUCUAAAAAAUUAAGCAUUUUAAAAAAAUAAAAUAAAAUAAGAUCGACCAAACCUACUGUUAACCAAGAAUUGUGAUUCACUAAGGUACAAAUUAUUAAAUAUAUAUCCCUGAAAUAUUUUUUUAUUUUAUGUCAUUUGUUGCGUUUUUAAUUGGAAAAAUUACAUAAAUUCCACAUUUUAGUUUACUUAUUACCAUUAUCCCCUAUAAAUUUUACAAAUCUCCAAAAUUCCACAUUUUCGCGCAUCAAAUUAGUGUAUCUCGCGCAGUAGAUUAGUGUAUCAUGUAUAAAAUGUAAUGUAUCUUAGUUAACAAUUAAUGUAUCUCACGCAUCAGAUUAAUGUAUCAGCGCUUACAUUAUUGUAUCCGUUUGAGGAAUUUCUGUAAUUAUAAACUUUUAAGGGAUAAAUUGUAAUUUUGCUUUAAAAGUAAGUGAUUUAUGUAAUUUGCCCUUAUUAAUUUAUGAGAGCCCACAUCAUUUAUAUUUUUCCCUUUUCCUAACGCACUCCAAUUUGGCUUUGACAUUUGUCACGAUUAAUAGGCCUUGACAAACAAAAUGCGAAAUUAAUUCUAAAAUACUCCUUCAGUUUCGAUUUACUCGUCAAAUUUGGAUUUGAUAUAUCUAUUAAGAAAAGGGAAAAGGCUCAAAUUUAUCAUCGAACUUUGAGAAAAAGUUUAUUUAUAUCAUUAUUUCUCCCGUGAAUUAAAGGAGUAAUUAAUUUUUUUACAAAUUACAUCACACAAGUAUAUUAGUAAAGAGUCACGAUCUUAUAUUUUUGAUGCAUGACCCUUUAUUUUACAUUCAACCGAAGGAAAUUAUGUACUAAAAAAACAUAUCCUUCCUAAAGAUCAUUCACCUUUGUUCUUACUAAAAAAAGAGUAAAAAAAAUGCUUUGUUCAUCUCUAAAGAAGUUGAUCCCCCAAAUCUUAGCUUGCCCAUUCCUUGUAUAUCACAUGAUGUUGUUUACUCCAAUAUUUUUCAUAUUUAUAAAUGACAAAUGCAGGGAUAAUUCAAAAAUUAUAAGAGAAUGUGUAUAGUCAAGAGUAAGAUAAGUGUGAAUUAAUCAUGAUAUAAAUGCAUGAGAAUAUUAACAUUUUUUCUUGGAUAACUUGACUUUUUGCUAAUACAUGAACCAUAUUAAAUUGCUUGUAAAUCUCAAAAUAACCUUGGAAAUUCCUAAACAAGAUCUGUUAUUUUUUUUCUGUGUGCGCAUUGAAACAUUAACGAUUGCGUAAUGAUUUAGUUUCUAAGCAUAAGUUAUUAGAUGAACAGUGUUAAUUUAGUGAAUGAAAAAUGGUCAUUUAAUUUUUUCAGAAACAUUUAAUAUUUAAUUAAUUAUUUUUUUAUAAAAAAAAAAAUUAGUGUAGGGGUAAAAUGGUAAUCCAAUUUUGCAAUUUGAUGCUUUCUACUUUUAAUAUAAUAUUAUUAUUAUUAUUAUAUAUAUAUAUAUAUAUUAUUAUUAUGAUAAUAUAAUAUGAUGAUGAUAUGAUAUGAUGAUGAUGAUUAAAUGAAAUAUACAAAUAGAUUAUAGAUGAUAAAUAUUAUUAAAUUAGAUAUUUUAAUUAGGAAUUAAUCUAAGGAAGUGCAAACGCCAUUAACAUUUUUAUUAAAAUGAUACAAUUUAACAUUUAAAUUAAAUAAUUAAAUGUUUUUAUAACAUUUUAAUUCAUAAUAGGGGUAAAAUCGCAAUUCAACGUUUAACUUUUUUUGUUCCCACUUAUAGUAAUACUAGUUUCUGGAUACAUGCGGUGCACGUGUGUUCCAUGAGAAUUUUCAUAGAUUUGUUGGAAUAAUUAAAAUUUUAUGAAAACAUGUAGUGAGUAAUAAAAUGCAAUUUUAAUUAUUAACAUAUCUUUAAAAUAUGGCAAAAAGUACCAAAUAAGGAGCGUAUUUUAUUGUUUAAAAUCAAGUUCUUUAAAGCAAUCAACUGUAAGUUUUGAAUUUUGGUUAGUAGUUAGCAAACUUUCAAUAAAGCCAAAAAUGACUAAUCAAUCAGAAAUUCAUAGAAAAUGAAAUUUAAAAAGUCUAAUAGAUAGAGAACACAAAAAAAUACAAUGUAUUCAUCUUUGUUAAGACUUUAAUCAUACAGUAUAGAUGUAAACAGAAAUACAGAAAUAGUACAUAAUUUUCCGAGUUCUUGUCGUCUCUUUCCAUCAUAGCCAAUCAAAAUUCAAGAUCCUUCUUUGUCGAGUCAAACUAAAGAAUGAAUCAAUAGAACAAAAUUGAUAUAAAUGUUUCACUACUUUAACUAUAGAAUGAAAAGGAUACCUAAGGAUCUCAUGAAACAAAGAAGAUGAUUUUGUAUAAAUAAAAUUGGAGGAACACCAAAAGUUAUCUUAAAAUAUUAAAUUAAAUAUUUAGAGGUUGUGAAUAUGAAAAGUACGAGAGUUAUAGAUAUAGAUAUAUAUUAAUAGUAGCAAUUGAAUAUGUAGUUAGAUAUGAGAUAUGAAGGUGGAUAUUUAAAGCAAAUAAAAGAGAAAAAUAAUAAAUAAAUGAAAGGAUAUAAGUUUCAUAAAACCAAACUUUAAAAAAUAACAAAUAUAUAAUAUAAGACGUACAAAAAAAAUUGAAAAAAUAUUCAAAUGUGUUAAUUAAGCUUAAGAAACAUUAAAAAAUAACAAAUAUAUAAUAUAAGACGUACAAAAAAAAUUGAAAAAAUAUUCAAAUGUGUUAAUUAAGCUUAAGAAACAUUUUUGGAAGAAAAUAAAAAUAUGUAUGCAAUAACCAUCAUAAAUGUAUAUGUAAUUACCAUUGGGUAUUCAAUAAUUGAGAAAUAUGCGGCCAAGAAAUGUGGAUUUGGUUAUUAAAAUUUAGUAGGUUGUAGUUAUUAGAAAAUGUUCUAUUAAUGAAGCAAAGAAAUUAGGGGGUUUAGGUUAUUAGAAUUUGGGGGGUUGUAGUUAUUUGACUUAUUUCUAAGUAUUAAUGCAACCAAGAAAUGAAGGAUUUUGGUUAUUGAAAUUUAGGGCUUGUGUAUAUUGCAACACGUAAAGUUAAUCUAAAUUUGUAAUUCAUUUAAUGCAUUACGAUAAAUGUAUGUUACUUCAUGAAAACAUUAAUGUCUUUCUAAUUCACCAUGCUUUACUAUGAUGUGGAAGUUAUGAAAAUGAAAAGGUGUGAAUUAUAGAGUUAAUCUUUUAAAUAAAGUAAUUAGAAAUAAGAAAUACUUUAAAGUAGAAUAUUAAAAUGCCUACUUUAUGGAGUUAAUAUAUAUAUAUAUAUAUUAUGAAAAUGUGUGAAAUAUGGAGUUAAUAUAUAUAUGUUAAGUAAAUUGAAGGAGAAAAAUAAAAAUAAAUACAAUUUUUUUUUGAAAAAAUGUAACUAAUUUAGUUUUUAAAAGGAUAAAAAUGUCUAACAAUUUUCUAUGAAUAUUUUCUCCUUUAAAUUUUUGACUUAACACCUUUUCACUUUUAGAAUUAGUAUAAUAUAAUAUAUAGUAAUAUUAUAUAAUUACUAUUUAAUAUUUAAUUGAUUAGCAAUUUUAUAAUAUUUUUAUUUAGUGGGGGUAAAAUGGAAUUUCAACUUUAAACACUUUUUUUGUUCCCACUUUUAGUAAUAUAUGAUGAUAUGAUGAUAAUGGUAUGAUUUGAUAUAUUAGAGGUUAAAAAUAAUGAUUGAUCUUUUCUCAUUCAUAAACUAAUUUUUCAGUAAAUAAUAAUGUAAAAAUAAUGAAAAACUGAGUGAUAAUUCAAAGUACAAAAAUUUAAAUAACGUAUGCUUAAGUUAGAGGUUGGUGUGCAUUGUCGGUUUAGUUCGAUUUUAUGUAUUAUCGGUUCGAUUUAUCAAUUUUUGAUUUUUGAAUACACUAAACCAAUAAUCAAACAAUAAGAUAUUUCUUAUCGGUUUAUCGAUUUUGAUCCCUAGCAGUUCGAUUUUCGGUUUAACCAAUAAGAAAAUGCUAAUGGAACAAAUAUAUGACUUCUCCAACAAUUUGACGCCACAUGACAAUAAUGCAACUUUACGAAUGCUCAUAAAGUCGCCUUUGGAAGCCUUCGCCGGUAACCAAAGCGUAUCGUCCCCGCAACCACUUUGGUACUUUGUUUAUAGCUUUUUUAAGUUAUGCAAUAGAAGGGGGGGCUUGUGCUUGAAUUGAAGUAGUGCCUUUGGAAUAUGAGUAGGGCUUAGAAACAAUAAUAACUAGGAAAAAUUACCAAACUAGACAUACAUCGCUAUCAUGUAUACUAACCUUACUUCUACUUUCAAACAAUUACAUAUAUUACUGCUUUUUAUACUGUAUACCAUAUAUUUUAAAAGAAACAAUCAAAUACAAACGUCCCUUAAAACUAGGAUUGAUUAAUUAUUUGUACAUUUAAACACAACAAUUAGUGGUCCAAUAACAAUCAGUAUUAUUCUCUCUCAUCAACCGCACCCCCAAACUCCUAUGUCAAUCGUAUCUCCCCCCAUGUCCUCCAUUCACCUCCAUCAUAAUCUCUCUUCCUACAUCAUCAAUCUCCUAUCCCACUCUCUCUCUCCCUCUCUCUCACACACACACUGAUCUUCUUCACUAAGUCAUCAAAAACUGAAUAAAAAAUGGAGCAAUACAAUCUUUCUUGGAUUUUAUUUGUAAAAAUUUUGAUUUUCUUUUUCUUUGUUUGAGAAGUAAAGAUAGGAACUAAAGUUUUGCGGCCACAAAAUUAUUUGAUUGACAGAUUCAAGGAACCCCAUGCCGACGGCAAUGUGUCAUCAUCAAUGAAAAUGGGAAAGGGUAUUACAAAUAUAACUACGCUGACCAAAAACAGGUUGUUUAAACGUCGAAAAAGAAGUUGAAUAAAAAGAUCCAGAACCAAUUUGAGCUGUCAAUUUUGAAGAGAUCUAAAGAAUCGAAAUCGGUUCAGAUCCCCGAGAAAGUUAUACUGGCACCAUCCAUUGCAUCUGAAACAUGUAUCUGAUUUAUUUAUUAAAUAUAUAUGUAUUUUCUAUUAAAUAUAUAUGAGUUGUUUAAUGUCAUGUAUCUAAAGAUGUUAAUUUCAUGUAUUUGAGAUUUUCUGUCAUGAUCUAGUAUGUUUUCUUUAGUGUAUUUGGGACGCAUUUGUCGUGUAUUUAGUCAUACUUCAACGAGAUAGUUAUAAAUUACACUUUUAUGGAAUUACGACAAUCACAAAUUCAUUGUUGGCACAGUUAGUGAUAAUGAAGACCCACCAAAGUCUAAAUGCACAUUUUUCAAUUCAAAUAAUUGGAUAAAUACUUCAUGUACGUAACAAGUUUCAACUACAUGUAUAUGCUAUAUGCUACAUGUAACUGGUACAUAAUUAAUCCUUCUUAAUCACAAAGUAUCUAUCGAAUACACAUAUGUGAAAAAUAUUUGUCUGUUCAUAAUUUAAAAACUCAAGAGAUACAUCUAAUGAAAUAAAGUACAUGAAUCAGAUACAUUAGUAAAAGGCAUGUAUCCAGAUUCAAAUAAUUAAUAAUUUUUAUUUAUGUAAGAUUUUCAAAUGAAGGUUUGUAUCUAGUUCAAAAACAACAAUAUACUUUGUCAGAAUAUUCAACAAAGUAACAACCUCACAUAUUGUUCUCUAAAUAUGAAACAAAUUCAAAUUUCUAAAAAGAAAAGUUGUUCAUUUUGUUGUUGCUCGAAAAUAAAUGGAAGAAAUAAGAAUUUUUAUAGAAGUUGUUAGACUAAAUAUACUCAAAAGCUGUUAAAUGAGUGAUUUCCUCCUAAAAUUAAACCUUUUGUUACAGUCCUUAAUUAAACAUGUAUCCAUUCCUCGGAUUCAUGUAUUUUAACUAGACAGUGUAUUCAACCAACGAAAUCUAGUACAAGAAGUAAUAUUCGAAACUACGUACCAUGAAUACUGGUAAUAAGACCUUAUAAACUAUUGGGAUUUAUGUUGUUUUCUCUAAUAACUAACAUGAAAAGAACUACACAAGUGUAACACAAAAAGAAAUUAAGAGGAACAGUGUUCUUACUUUAGGAGUUUAGGUUUUGACGUUUUGUAUAAUGUGAAGUUGUGAACUCAAAGUCACUAUGAAGUAUUAAUUGAAGGCUAAAGGGCAAAGACAAUAACUAAAUAAGUAUUGAGAUUAAUAUUUAAUAAUUAUGUACGGAUAAAGUAGUAAAUUAUUAUUAUCUAAAAUGGAUUAUCGUUUUACCGAAAAACCCAAUAUUCAAAAAUCAAAACCAAACCGAUAACCCAAUAAUUUAUUUUUUAUAAAACCAUUAAAAAUUGUUAACCCAAUAACAAUAAACUAAUAACACUAUUUUUAUUCGAUUUAUAGGUCGAUUAGAUUUUUUUCACACAACCCUUGUAUUGUACCUUAGCUUGUUAACAUGAUGUCGAAGAAUCCAAUUGGUCCUAUGAGCUGACCCCAAACAAUAAUGUGUUGGGGAUUGCUUGCUUUGAUGGAUUUUUUUAAUCUUUAGUUUUUGUAACUCAUGUAUUACUAAUACUAAAUAUACAAAUUGUAUCUCAGCGUCAAAUAAUAGUAUCUAAAUUUCAAUGUGUAACAUAUAUUUUCUCCGAUUUAUAUUACAUGUCCACUUUUUUUUUUAUAUGUCUAUUAAAAGAUUAUAAAUAAAACAAUAAUUUCACUAACUUAAUCUUUUAACUGUUUUCAUACUCUCAAUUUAUGGGCCUUAUCCAGACAAUUACUGCUUUCUUUUGACUUAUUAUGUAUAUGAAAAAGAUCAAUAGUUAAAGAUUUUUUUAAAACAUUACGGCAUGUAUACUUUCAAAAAUAAAUCUUAAGGACAUAAUGGGAAUAUUUUUUUAAUUGAUUUUAUAAAUUGACAAAUAAUUCAGGAUAAAUAUUUUUAAUAUGAACAAAUAAUAUGAGAUGAAGGAAAUAUAAAUAUUAGUAAUACGAAGUUUAAUGACACAAGUUAAUUAAGCAUUGUGUUUGUUUUUUUUAAAAAAAUAAAUUAAAAAAAAUUAAGGGUAGGAAAAAGGAAUUACAAAAGGGAAUCAAACUCUCACCAACAAGAGUCAACUGAACUAAUGAAGAUUAUUUUAAUCAUUGUGUUAAGAUAUGAUUUUUUUCCUGUUAAACAAACCAAACAAAAUUUUAUUCUUGGAUUAUUUUUAUUAACUUUUUUGGGGGGGAGAAAGAUACCAUAUUACUACUACUUGAUUUCUUUUACUUUUUGCUUUAUUAAUCAUCAUGAUAAUAAUAAAUGGGACUUCUUUUUCUUUAUAAUAUUUAUUUUAGUUCACAAGGGAAGAUGGAUGUCAACAUCUAGAAUUGAAGUAUGACGGAGCGUGAAAGGUGGUUUAAUGCACACCCCUAGUCGAAAAAUUAUAUGAUGUACAUAAAAUAAAUAUUAGCAAUUAUAAGUAUAUAUUUAAUUUUACACGUAACUCAAUUGAGAAAAAAAUAUCACACUUUAAGCCAUAUUUUUUACUUUGCCACUGCAUUUAAUUAAUUUAUUCUAAAAGAUACCUCUCUAUAUAUACAUGCGGCUUCUAUUGAUCUCCUCUCAUCUUAUUCUUAUCUAAAGAUUUUCUUUGUCAGCUCAAGUUUUAAACUAAGGUAAUUACUUUAAUGAACUCUUCUUCUUCAUAUGAUUUGUAUAUAUUUCUUAUGAUGUAACAAAUAAAGCUUUGGCUCCUCUAUGACAAAGUCGGACCAAAGAUUUUUAGUUUAUGAAUUCUGAAUUCUGUCUUAAUAUGAUAUGUUGUUUGGUUGACAUUUGCUAGUGAAUUGUGGAUUGAAGGGAAGGAAGAUGGCACAAAUUUUGCUACAUGGUACACUUCAUGUUACUAUAUUUGAAGUUGAUAAGCUUCGUACUAAUUUUGGAAGAGACAUUUUCAAUAAGGUGAAAAUUUUAAUCUUAAUCCUUUCUUUCCAUACUUCAAUUUAGUAUCCAUAUGAAAACAUGUAUAGUACUUUAUUUUGUGAGUUAGUAAUUUCUUGCCAGAUAAUUAGUUCCAUCAAAUCAAUUGAAAGUAUGUUUGUGUAGAUAGAACACAAAUAUAUGAAUGCAACCUUAUUAAUUUCUUGUUAAUUGGUUUGAUUUAAAUGAAAUAUGCGUUGAGUUCUUCUUAGGAAUUUGGGAGAUGGAUCGGAAUUGGUAAAGAAAUAAAUUUUGGAUCUGACUCAACCUUCAAAACGUGCUAACUCAUUGGGGAAAAAUUAUCCAAAUUGAUAUACAAAGACCAUCCAUCUCAUGAAUUUUUAUUAACCACCCGAUGUGAAACUUUUUUUCUUCUUCAAAGUAUUUACAAUUAAAGAGAGCUACUCCUCCCUUAAUCAGAUGUUUUGAAUUUGAACCCUGGAUAUCGAAAAAUUCUUGGUAGGAAACAUGAUUUUCCUAGCAGGAAUUCAAAUUAAUUAAAUUUUAAUGCGAAUAUCGAACCCGAUGAAAAAAAAAAACUGAAGAGAAAGAAGGGAAGUGUGUGUUAUCUGCACUAGAGUGAUUUAUUUGUGGACGGCAAGUAGGUGAGUUAGCGAUGGGGAAUUUGUGGAUAGCAUGAAUUUAAUUAUUGCAAAUUUUUGGGUGGUGGAGUUGUUGAAACUUUAGAAUGUACACUAUUUUUAUUUUGUUAUAUUUUUAACAUUAACUAUUAAUUUCAUAAAUUAUUUUUUAUGAUUUUUUAAAAUACUAAUAAUUAUGAAUAUUAUAGUAAAAUAUUUAUUUCAUUUAUCAUUUUUUUAAAAGAAAGUACAUAGUUUAUUAUAGACAAAUAAAAAAGAAUGAAGGACGUAAGAUAUUAACCUUAUAAUUUUGCUCCACAAUUAAUUUAUACUGAGAAAUUAUAGUAGUAUUAAUUCUUUCUUUUUUAAAAUAUAAUAUUUUUUUCUCUGAAAUGAUCCGUAUAACUUCUUCAUUUAUCAUAUUUUUCUGUUUUGUACAGUCUGUUACACUUUUUCUUAAUCUUUGUAUCUUUUUUAAAUUGUAGUGUUGUGUGUUGUUUGAGCCAAUUGAGGAUCGAAAAUAAUUUUUUUAUUUUCAUAAAUUAAUAAUAAGAUUUACAUACAUUUUAUCAUUUUCAAAUUCCACUUAUAAAAAUAUAUUGAGUAUGUUAUUUGUUGUUUGUUUUGUUUUAAAAAUUUUAAAAACACUUAAAAUGAUCGGAGAUAGUAUGCCAAUAUUGACCACAAUAUAUAAAAGAAAGAUAAUUUUGAACCUUGUGAUUUAACUUUAAACAUAUCAUGAUGCAGUAUAAGCAUACCAUUAAUGUAAAAUAAAAUAUUUACCAUUUAAUUAUUUUUAAAUAUAAGAAGUAUUUAAACAUAGGGUUACUCCAACCAUUUUAAUUAAAGUAUAAAAAAGAAUACAUAGGAUUAGUUUCAAAUACAAGAAGUAUUCAAAAGAAACUAAUGAGAGAGAAAAUGGAAGUGGUUGACACAAUUUUGUAAUUUUAAUAUUCUACAUUACUUGUUUUAAAUUGUAAAUUUAAAAAAUAUUUUAAUAUAUUAUACAGAUUUUAAAUUAAUAAAACGGAAAAGGGCCUAAAAUACAUUUGAAGUAUUGAAAAUGGUACACAACUACCCCUCAUCCACCUAUUGGCUCCAAAAUACCCUCCUCAUCCACUUAUUGGCUCACAAAUACCCUCUCCAUCCACCUUUGGGUCCAAUUUUAGCCACUUCAUUAACGGAGCACCAUUUAAAAUAAUUAAAUAAUCCUUUUAAUUACGUGGCGCUCAACCAUUGGUUGCAAUUUAAUUAUUUAAUAUAAUUUUAAACCCACACCCAAUUUAAUAAUUCAAACCAAUGGUUGAGUGUCACGUAAUUAAAAGGAUUAUUUAAUUAUUUUAAAUGGUGCUCCGUUAAUGAAGUGGCUAAAAUUGGACCCAAAGGUGGAUGGAGAGGGUAUUUGUGAGCCAAUAAGUGGAUGAGGAGGGUAUUUUGGAGCCAAUAGGUGGAUGAGGGGUAGUUGUGUAAAGAAGUAUUUAAACAUAGGGUUACUCCAACCAUUUUAAUUAAAGUAUAAAAAAGAAUACAUAGGAUUAGUUUCAAAUACAAGAAGUAUUCAAAAGAAACUAAUGAGAGAGAAAAUGGAAGUGGUUGACACAAUUUUGUAAUUUUAAUAUUCUACAUUACUUGUUUUAAAUUGUAAAUUUAAAAAAUAUUUUAAUAUAUUAUACAGAUUUUAAAUUAAUAAAACGGAAAAGGGCCUAAAAUACAUUUGAAGUAUUGAAAAUGGUACACAACUACCCCUCAUCCACCUAUUGGCUCCAAAAUACCCUCCUCAUCCACUUAUUGGCUCACAAAUACCCUCUCCAUCCACCUUUGGGUCCAAUUUUAGCCACUUCAUUAACGGAGCACCAUUUAAAAUAAUUAAAUAAUCCUUUUAAUUACGUGGCGCUCAACCAUUGGUUGCAAUUUAAUUAUUUAAUAUAAUUUUAAACCCACCUAUUACCCACCCAUUUUUAACUAAACCCGCCCCAAUACUUAUUAAACCCGCACUAAAAUAAUCGCAACAUUUUGGUAUAUUACACGCUCCAUUUUAGUUAGUUUUAAAAAAAUGACACUUACAAUUCGAAAUUAAUUAAAUUUAAAUUGGUAAUUUUAGUCUUAAUGAGAAGUUUUGUAAUCAUACAAAUGAAAUGUUAUGACUUGUUUAUGAUAAUAAAUUUCAAAAAAAUUAUAGGCACAUAAAUACUAUAUACUCAUAUGUUUUAAGAUCAGAAAUUUUAAAAAUAAUUAUUUCUAUCUUAAAUUCUAUAUCGAUCAAACUAUAUCACAUAAAUUGAAGUGAAGGAAAUAUUUUAUUUUCCAAAUUGUUUAAUCAAAUUUACACAAUAACACAAACAACUUUUAGCGGCAAGAAAUAUACAUAUCAAUAAAAAGCGUUAAAGCAUUUACUGACAUUAGUUAAUUGUCAUUAGAUUCAAUAUCACUAUAGACUUUAAGGACAUUUAAAAAAAAUGUUAAUUGCCAUUAAACAAAUUAUUUUUUAUGUAGUAUUCAGGCUAAAUAAACUCUGACCAAUAUUUUUACGAUAUUAGUGAUUGUAAUUUACAGUACUUUUCUCUGUAGUCAUUUCAAUAUUUGUAACAUCAGUUUACCCCACCUCACCAACUAGGUGGCUACCUAAACUUCCACUGGUGAGGGUUCGAUUCCUAAUAUUGUAAUCCUAUGAUUAAAGUUUCAAUAUUAUUUUUCAUAUAGAACACACCUUAGAGUAUGAUAUACUAUAGUGAUCAAAGUAGACAGUAACAACAUUAUUGUUUACUUAUUAACAGCUCCAUUUUCUUGUAGGUUGUUCAAGGCAUUGAAGGAGCUAUUGGCUUCAAUAAGACAGCAUCAACACUCUAUGCAACCAUUGAUCUUGGAAAAGCCAGAGUUGGCAGAACCAGAUUGCUCGAUGAACACAAAAAUCCACGGUGGUACGAGUCAUUCCACAUUUACUGUGCUCAUAUGGCUUCUGAUGUCAUAUUCACUGUCAAAGCUGAUAAUCCAAUUGGAGCAGAACUCAUAGGAAGAGCUUACUUACCAGUUGAACGAUUGAUAGAUGGAGAAGUUGUUGAUGAAUGGCUUGAAAUCCUGGAUACAGAACGAAAACCUGUGCAAGGACACUCUAAAAUUCAUGUGAAGUUGCAGUAUUUUGAUGUCACAAGGGAGUAUAAUUGGAAUAGAGGGAUAAGAGUUACAAGAUUUCCUGGAGUUCCUUACACAUUCUUUAGUCAAAGACAAGGAUGUAAGGUCACCCUUUACCAAGAUUCUCAUGUUCCUGAUAACUUUGUCCCGAAAAUUCCUCUGGCUGGUGGCAAGUUUUAUGAGCCACAAAGAUGUUGGGAAGACAUUUUUGAUGCAAUCACUAAUGCAAAGCAUAUGAUUUACAUAACUGGAUGGUCUGUUUAUACGGAGAUUACUUUGAUAAGGGAUACGAGGAGGCCUAAGCCUGGUGGAGACAUAACGCUCGGGGAGUUGCUUAAGAAGAAAGCUAAUGAAGGUGUGAGAGUUCUAAUGCUGGUGUGGGAUGACAGAACAUCGGUUCCUGUGUUGAAACAAGAUGGGCUAAUGGCUACUCAUGAUCAAGAAACUGCUACUUAUUUUGACGACUCUGAAGUACAUUGUGUGUUGUGUCCUCGAAAUCCUGAUGAUGGAAGAAGCAUUAUUCAAAACAUACAGAUUGGGACAAUGUUUACUCAUCAUCAAAAGAUUGUAGUUGUUGAUGGAGAAUUGCCUAAUGGAGACACGGAGAGACGGAGAAUUGUGAGUUAUAUUGGUGGGAUUGAUCUUUGUGAUGGUAGAUAUGAUACACAAUUUCACCCCCUUUUCAGGACUUUGGACACAGCACAUCAUGAUGAUUUUCACCAACCAAAUUUCACUGGUGCUACGAUUCAGAAAGGGGGACCAAGAGAGCCUUGGCACGAUAUCCAUUGCCGAAUAGAAGGGCCAGCAGCUUGGGAUGUGCUCUUCAAUUUUGAACAGAGGUGGAGGAAGCAAGGUGGAAAGGACUUGCUUAUGAACCUAAGGGAUAUCGAGAAUAUAAUCAUACCACCUUCACCUGCUAUGUAUCCAGAUGAUCAUGACACGUGGAAUGUUCAAGUUUUUCGAUCAAUUGAUGGGGGAGCAGCUUUUGGCUUCCCCGAUGCUCCUGAGGAGGCAGCCAAGUCUGGUCUUAUAAGUGGAAAGGACAACAUCAUUGAUCGAAGCAUACAAGAUGGAUAUAUUAAUGCCAUUCGUCGAGCAAAUCAUUUUAUUUACAUCGAAAACCAGUACUUCUUAGGAAGCUCCUUUUCAUGGAACUCCGAUGAUAUCAAGGAUGAAGACAUUAAUGCUCUACAUUUGAUCCCAAAGGAGUUGUCUUUGAAGAUAAUUAGCAAGAUUGAAGCAGGGGAAAGGUUUACGGUCUAUGUUGUGGUUCCAAUGUGGCCAGAAGGUCUUCCUGAGAGUGCAUCUGUACAAGCAAUACUGGAUUGGCAAAGGAGAACCAUGAAAAUGAUGUACACCGAUAUAAUUCAAGCUCUUAAAGCAAAAGGUAUUGUGGCAAAUCCUAAGGACUACUUGAGUUUCUUUUGCCUUGGCAAUAGGGAAACAAAGAAGACAGGAGAAUAUGAGCCUUCUGAAUCACCAGAACCCGACUCAGACUAUCAAAAAGCUCAAGAAGCCAGACGUUUCAUGAUUUACGUUCAUGCCAAAAUGAUGAUAGGCAAGUUAAAUGCGCUAGAAAUCAUUGCAUAUGUGAUUAUAUAUUUUCAAAAUUAACUACUUCUCAAUAGUAUUAUUUUUGUGUGUUUUUUGCAGUGGAUGAUGAAUACAUUAUCAUUGGAUCAGCUAACAUCAAUCAAAGGUCAAUGGAUGGUGCCAGAGACUCAGAAAUAGCAAUGGGAGCCUACCAACCAUUUCAUCUCUGUGUGAAGGAGCCAGCUAGGGGCCAGGUUCAUGGGUUCCGUAUGGCGUUGUGGUACGAGCACUUAGGCAUGUUAGACAACAGUUUCCUUCAACCAGAGAGCGUAGAAUGCAUCCGAAAGGUGAACAAAAUUGGUGACAAAUAUUGGGAUAUGUAUUCAAGUGAGAGCCUCAUUCAUGAUUUGCCUGGACAUCUUCUUACUUACCCUAUUGGUAUUACUGAAAAUGGAGAGGUCACUGGAAUACCUGGAGUAGAAUGCUUUCCUGACACCAAAGCACCUGUUCUUGGUACCAAAUCCAAUUUUCUUCCUCCCAUUCUCACAACCU
rnacentral:lncRNA from 1 species